UUUCCAGAGAUGGAUUGGUGCCUUCGGAACUUACAUACAGGUGCUGCAUGGCUGUCGUCAGCUCGUGUCGUGAGAUGUUGGGUUAAGUCCCGCAACGAGCGCAACCCUUUUCCUUAUUUGCCAGCGGGUUAAGCCGGGAACUUUAAGGAUACUGCCAGUGACAAACUGGAGGAAGGCGGGGACGACGUCAAGUCAUCAUGGCCCUUACGACCAGGGCUACACACGUGCUACAAUGGUCGGUACAAAGGGUUGCUACCUAGCGAUAGGAUGCUAAUCUCAAAAAGCCGAUCGUAGUCCGGAUUGGAGUCUGCAACUCGACUCCAUGAAGUCGGAAUCGCUAAUAAUCGCGGAUCAGAAUGCCGCGGUGAAUACGUUCCCGGGCCUU
rnacentral:rRNA from 1 species